AUACGACCACAUCAGGUUGAAACACCUGUUCCCGUGCGAUCACCGAAGUUAAGCAACAUCGAGCCUGGUCAGUACCUAGAUGGGUGAACGCUUGGAAAUACUACGUGCUAUA